CAACUUGUGAUGAGGGGAGAUACCAUGACCAGGAAGGUGGUUUUCCCAGGACAGGGCUUAUCCCCUGUGCUCCGGAUGUGCUGACCCCUGUGAUUUCCCCAAAUGUGGGACACUUGGCUGCAUAAUUAGGGAUAAUGAGGAACUGCCUUCAUGUUUCCCCUUG
rnacentral:snRNA from 1 species